CCCUUAGAUGUUCUGGGCCGCACGCGCGCUACACUGAUACAUUCAACGAGCCUACCACCUGUGCCGAAAGGUUCGGGUAAUCUUUGAAAUUGUAUCGUGAUGGGGCUAGAUUAUUGCAACUAUUAAUCUUCAACGAGGAAUUCCUAGUAAGCGCAAGUCAUCAGCUUGCGUUGAUUACGUCCCUGCCCUUUGUACACACCGCCCGUCGCUCCUACCGAUUGAAUGUGCUGGUGAGGACUCAGGAUGAUGCCUUCGUGGCGGUCCGCCGCCGUGUUGGCGUCAGAAUCUGUUCAAACCCUCGCAUUUAGAGGAAGGAGAANUCGUAACA
rnacentral:rRNA from 1 species